GACGAACGCUGGCGGCGUGCCUAAUACAUGCAAGUAGAACGCUGAAGGAGGAGCUUGCUUCUCUGGAUGAGUUGCGAACGGGUGAGUAACGCGUAGGUAACCUGCCUGGUAGCGGGGGAUAACUAUUGGAAACGAUAGCCAAUACCGCAUAAUAGUAGAUGUUGCAUGACAUUUGCUUAAAAGGUGCAAUUGCAUCACUACCAGAUGGACCUGCGUUGUAUUAGCUAGUUGGUGGGGUAACGGCUCACCAAGGCGACGAUACAUAGCCGACCUGAGAGGGUGAGCGGCCACACUGAGACUGAGACACGGCCCAGACUGCUACGGGAGGCAGCAGUAGGGAAUCUUCGGCAAGGGACGGAAGUCUGACCGAGAAACGCCGCGUGAGUGAAGAAGGUUUUCGGAUCGGAAAGCUCUGUUGUAAGAGAAGAACGAGUGUGAGAGUGGAACGUUCACACUGUGACGGUAACUGACCAGAAAGGGACGGCUAACUACGUG
rnacentral:rRNA from 1 species